GACGAACGCUGGCGGCGCGCUUAACACAUGCAAGUCGAGCGAGAACCAGGGCUUCGGCUCUGGGGACAGCGGCGAACGGGUGAGUAACACGUGAGUAAUCUGCCCUCGACACUGGGAUAGCCCGGGGAAACCCGGAUUAAUACCGGAUAGCCUUUCGAGCUCUCGGGCUCGUCAGAAAAGGAUGGCUUCGGCUUUCGGUUGAGGAUGAGCUUGCGGCGGAUUAGCUUGUUGGUGAGGAACGGCUCACCAAGGCGACAAUCCGUAGCUGGUCUGAGAGGACGAUCAGCCACACUGGGACUGAGACACGGCCCAGACUCCUACGGGAGGCAGCAGUGGGGAAUCUUGCGCAAUGAGCGAAAGCUUGACGCAGCGACGCCGCGUGA
rnacentral:rRNA from 1 species